GUCAAUUGGCAGAGCUCAGCCUGGAGAAGCCACACUCAGCCCGCCUCCCACAGGCUCCUCUUUCCGCACAGUCCUGUGAGCUCACUUUUGCCUCUCUGUACUCAGAUGCGUCUUCCACCAUCUUCUCAACCUGGAAAUUCACGACCUUUCUUUGAUCUUCAGUCUUAUUCUUAACCUGUGAAUAGGGCAGUGAAAAACAUAGGAACGUAGGAAUUAAGUGUGAAUGGGUUUCCCUGAUGGCUCACACGUUUUACAUUUUCUAUCUGCAAGGAGGAUGAGGAGUUUUGCAGAGAGGAGCUAUGAAACAGUGUGAAGCAGAAGAUGAUGACAACUGAUGUGUCCGUGCUACUCACUGGCUUGCUGAAGUCUGUGGAUUUAUCUUAUUUUCACUUUGUGUUUGAAGACCAACAGUGUCCCUGGUUAGGCUUAUUAAACACUAACACCUGUUUUGUCACCGUAGUGUCCAAAUGAACCAAGUAGGGAAAUCACACAGCAAAGCCUAUGGUAGUUUGUUAUCACUGAGUGGGGAAAGACAUCCCAAAGCAGCACAGUUCAUAACAUGAAUAGGAAACGGUUUCUUUAAAAAGCUCAUUUAUCUAGCAUUUGCUUUCAUCUGAAAUUUCUGCUGCUAUGUUGGCUGUUUAGUUUAACUACAGGGCUUGAGGACCCAAGUACCCAAAACCAGAGACGGAAACAAGAAGGAUGACGGAGCCCGGUGGAAAGCCGCACUUCUGGCCGGCGAGCCCAGGCCCUGGAUGCUCAGGGCCCCUGCGCACAGCAGGAGCCUGGCUCCUCCUCCCCGGAGACCUCCCACCCGUGUUUUCAGGGACAGCUCGACAGCGUGCAAUUCCCCCUCCGUUUUCCUCAGACCUCUCACUCACCCUCUUCUGGGAAGCUUCCAGCUGCGUCCUGACCCAGUGCAAGUGCACCUGCUACCUUCUCUGGCUUUCCAGACGGCACUAGUGGUAAAGAACCUGCCUGCCAGUGCAGGAGACGUGAGAGACCCGUGUCCGAUCCCAGGUCAGGAAGAUCCCCUGGAGGAGGAAACGGCAACCCACUGCAGUGUUCUUACUUGGAGAACCCCAUGGACAGAGGAGCCUGGCGGGCUACAGUCCACGGGGUCACAAAGAGCCAGACACGACCGAAGGGACUUAGCACAUGCGCUCUGGUUUCCUCUUCGGCCUUCUCGUCGCUGGGCAUUUGUAAGCCCAUCCUCAGUCUCACCUCUCAAGGUUUCAGCCUGUUUUGUCCUCAACUUCUGAGGACAGUCACCCCAAGUCUUCACUUCUUUAAAAUCUCUGACUUUAACCAGCCCUUCUCUUUCCUCCUUGUUCAUUGCUUUAAAUAAGGUACCACAGUCAUUCCUCGCUCGGUUCUCCAUUCCUACCUAGAACAUUAAUUAGAACAGUGUUUCUCAGGAUGAACAGGUUCAUAGUAGUAAACCAGCUUCCCUUUUACUCAUUUCAAACCUGCCCGAACGUCCCUCCUGUUUCUAGUCCCCCGAGCUCACUCCCGGGCUCUGUGCGUCUGACUUUCAUUGAAUCUUCCUGUUGAAACAACUCUUCGCUGCCCAUCAGCUCCUGCUUGUCCACAUCUUGACCAUCCAUCUUCAUAUGAC
ensembl:lncRNA